UCGUCCCCACGUUUCUUGUUCUUCCACUUCCGCUAUCCUCUCAUUCCCAUCGUCUUCUUCCAAGAUGUCUGGCAAGAUUUGUGCUAGUUUUCAUGUUGUAGCUUUUGAGACCGCUAGUUGCAGGGUAUCCAAAGGCGAUGUAUCCUUGUUAUUAAAACAUUUAUCGUUUUGUGCCUUCCAUAAGUACCCGAUCAACCAUGGAAAGAAGAACGUGCUCUCUGUGUUGCUAGGGUCU
rnacentral:lncRNA from 1 species